rnacentral:rRNA from 1 species
GACGAACGCUGGCGGCGUGCUUAACACAUGCAAGUCGAACGGAAAGGCCCUGCUUUUGUGGGGUGCUCGAGUGGCGAACGGGUGAGUAACACGUGAGUAACCUGCCCUUGACUUUGGGAUAACUUCAGGAAACUGGGGCUAAUACCGGAUAGGAGCUCCUGCUGCAUGGUGGGGGUUGGAAAGUGUCGGCGGUUGGGGAUGGACUCGCGGCUUAUCAGCUUGUUGGUGGGGUAGUGGCUUACCAAGGCUUUGACGGGUAGCCGGCCUGAGAGGGUGACCGGCCACAUUGGGAUUGAGAUACGGACCAGACUCCUACGGGAGGCAGCAGUGGGGAAUAUUGCACAAUGGGCGGAAGCCUGAUGCAGCAACGCCGCGUGCGGAAUGACGGCCUUCGGGUUGUAAACCGCUUUCGCCUGUGACGAAGCGUGCGUGACGGUAAUGGGUAAAGAAGCACCGGCUAACUACGUG